UAUCUUGUCAAUGACUGUAACUUGGCGCAAAUGAUGCAUGAGAGGAAGAAUUAGAUGCCGUAGUCUUUCUACUUAGUCCAAUAUAAACAGAAAAAGAAUAGGAGAAUCUCCAGGGAUAUUGAAGUUUUAAGACUUUUGAGAAUUAUAGUAUUUCAGAAUUUCUUUUCCUCCUUUUUCUCUAUUAGGUUUUUCAGUUAUAUUAUUUUCAAAUUAUAGUAACUAAUAGCAAUGGUUAUAACAAUGAUUAUUUUGUUACCAGAUAACCAUUAUUUAUUAAGGAAACAUUACUUUUGAACCCCUCAACUUUGCCCGGAUGUCACACAUGUCACCUUCAUUUUAUUUAUUUUUUAAUUAGAACCCUAAUACCAUUUUUUUUUGCAAUAUGAUCCUUUCAUCCAUCUUUAUCAACCGGAAUGAUUGCAUAGUAACUUAAAACUAUUAUUAAGACUGGGAUAUCCUUGUUUUUUAGAUUUACACAUUGCUUAGAGCUUCUAUCUUAUAUUGAUCCCAUCCUCAUCCUCCUCACCAUCUUCUCCCCAGCACCACU
rnacentral:lncRNA from 1 species